UUCUUUAUCACCGAGUGCUUGCACUCACCGAUAAAGAGUUUAGUGGCGAACGGGUGAGUAACACGUGGGCAACCUGCCCAAAAGAGGGGGAUAACACUUGGAAACAGGUGCUAAUACCGCAUAACCAUAGUUACCGCAUGGUAACUAUGUAAAAGGUGGCUAUGCUACCGCUUUUGGAUGGGCCCGCGACGCAUUAGCUAGUUGGUGGGGUAAAGGCUUACCAAGGCAAUGAUGCGUAGCCGAACUGAGAGGUUGAUCGGCCACAUUGGGACUGAGACACGGCCCAAACUCCUACGGGAGGCAGCAGUAGGGAAUCUUCCACAAUGGGCGAAAGCCUGAUGGAGCAACGCCGCGUGGGUGAAGAAGGUCUUCGGAUCGUAAAACCCUGUUGUUAGAGAAGAAAGUGCGUGAGAGUAACUGUUCACGUUUCGACGGUAUCUAACCAGAAAGCCACGGCUAACUACGUGCCAGCAGCCGCGGUAAUACGUAGGUGGCAAGCGUUAUCCGGAUUUAUUGGGCGUAAAGAGAACGCAGGCGGUCUUUUAAGUCUGAUGUGAAAGCCUUCGGCUUAACCGGAGUAGUGCAUUGGAAACUGGGAGACUUGAGUGCAGAAGAGGAGAGUGGAACUCCAUGUGUAGCGGUGAAAUGCGUAGAUAUAUGGAAGAACACCAGUGGCGAAAGCGGCUCUCUGGUCUGUAACUGACGCUGA
rnacentral:rRNA from 1 species